GAUGAACGCUGGCGGCGUGCCUAAUACAUGCAAGUCGAGCGAACGGACGAGGAGCUUGCUUCUCUGAUGUUAGCGGCGGACGGGUGAGUAACACGUGGAUAACCUACCUAUAAGACUGGGAUAACUUCGGGAAACCGGAGCUAAUACCGGAUAAUAUUUUGAACCGCAUGGUUCAAUAGUGAAAGACGGUUUUGCUGUCACUUAUAGAUGGAUCCGCGCUGCAUUAGCUAGUUGGUAAGGUAACGGCUUACCAAGGCAACGAUGCAUAGCCGACCUGAGAGGGUGAUCGGCCACACUGGAACUGAGACACGGUCCAGACUCCUACGGGAGGCAGCAGUAGGGAAUCUUCCGCAAUGGGCGAAAGCCUGACGGAGCAACGCCGCGUGAGUGAUGAAGGUCUUCGGAUCGUAAAACUCUGUUAUUAGGGAAGAACAUAUGUGUAAGUAACUAUGCACAUCUUGACGGUACCUAAUCAGAAAGCCACGGCUAACUACGUG
rnacentral:rRNA from 1 species